GCAAUUAGGCGGCCUACAAUGCAAGUCGAACGGUAACAGGAAGCAGCUUGCUGCUUUGCUGACGAGUGGCGGACGGGUGAGUAAUGUCUGGGAAACUGCCUGAUGGAGGGGGAUAACUACUGGAAACGGUGGCUAAUACCGCAUAACGUCGCAAGACCAAAGAGGGGGACCUUCGGGCCUCUUGCCAUCAGAUGUGCCCAGAUGGGAUUAGCUUGUUGGUGAGGUAACGGCUCACCAAGGCGACGAUCCCUAGCUGGUCUGAGAGGAUGACCAGCCACACUGGAACUGAGACACGGUCCAGACUCCUACGGGAGGCAGCAGUGGGGAAUAUUGCACAAUGGGCGCAAGCCUGAUGCAGCCAUGCCGCGUGUAUGAAGAAGGCCUUCGGGUUGUAAAGUACUUUCAGCGGGGAGGAAGGUGUUGUGGUUAAUAACCACAGCAAUUGACGUUACCCGCAGAAGAAGCACCGGCUAACUCCGUGCCAGCAGCCGCGGUAAUACGGAGGGUGCAAGCGUUAAUCGGAAUUACUGGGCGUAAAGCGCACGCAGGCGGUCUGUCAAGUCGGAUGUGAAAUCCCCGGGCUCAACCUGGGAACUGCAUUCGAAACUGGCAGGCUUGAGUCUUGUAGAGGGGGGUAGAAUUCCAGGUGUAGCGGUGAAAUGCGUAGAGAUCUGGAGGAAUACCGGUGGCGAAGGCGGCCCCCUGGACAAAGACUGACGCUCAGGUGCGAAAGCGUGGGAGCAAACAGGAUUAGAUACCCUGGUAGUCCACGCCGUAAACGAUGUCUACUUGGAGGUUGUGCCCUUGAGGCGUGGCUUCCGGAGCUAACGCGUUAAGUAGACCGCCUGGGGAGUACGGCCGCAAGGUUAAAACUCAAAUGAAUUGACGGGGGCCCGCACAAGCGGUGGAGCAUGUGGUUUAAUUCGAUGCAACGCGAAGAACCUUACCUGGUCUUGACAUCCACAGAACUUUCCAGAGAUGGACUGGUGCCUUCGGGAACUGUGAGACAGGUGCUGCAUGGCUGUCGUCAGCUCGUGUUGUGAAAUGUUGGGUUAAGUCCCGCAACGAGCGCAACCCUUAUCCUUUGUUGCCAGCGGUUAGGCCGGGAACUCAAAGGAGACUGCCAGUGAUAAACUGGAGGAAGGUGGGGAUGACGUCAAGUCAUCAUGGCCCUUACGACCAGGGCUACACACGUGCUACAAUGGCGCAUACAAAGAGAAGCGACCUCGCGAGAGCAAGCGGACCUCAUAAAGUGCGUCGUAGUCCGGAUUGGAGUCUGCAACUCGACUCCAUGAAGUCGGAAUCGCUAGUAAUCGUGGAUCAGAAUGCCACGGUGAAUACGUUCCCGGGCCUUGUACACACCGCCCGUCACACCAUGGGAGUGGGUUGCAAAAGAAGUAGGUAGCUUAACCUUCGGGAGGGCGCUACCACUUUGAUACAUGGA
rnacentral:rRNA from 1 species